rnacentral:rRNA from 1 species
AUGUACAAGAAGGAGUUCCUUGCCGUGAUGAUGGUCGUGGACAAGUGGCGACCGUACCUGCACCAAGGGCCGUUCGAGAUUAUCACUGACCACAAGAGCAUGUGUGCAUUGGGGGAACAACAACUCGACGCUGAGCUGUAGCACAAGGCCAUGUCCAAGAUCGUCGGCCUCCAAUUCUCCUUCCGGUACAAGAAAGGAGCUGACAAUUGCGCUGCCGAUGCACUCUCGCGCGUGGGUCACCGGCACGCUCUUGAUGUGCUGUCUGUGUGCCACCCGUAA